GUGGUGCCCAAGGCCCUAACCAGCGGCUGGAAGAUUCACAACUGUAUUACCUGAACUGAAGGGGGUGGGCAGGCCUGCUAGAUUGCAGCUGCCCCUUUUUGCAUGCCCAUUGUCAGACCAGGGAGGAAAAGCUGGGGGAGGGUGGGAGCGAUGCCAAGGGCAUCCUGGAUCUGAGGCGGGGCAGUCCAGCCAGGACAGGGAGGACCAGGAACCUCAUCUCCACAGCAACCAGCUGGGGCCACGAGAAGGAAGACAGGAAAUCAAAAGGAAGGGUGGGGACCCAGCCUUCAACUCACUGGGUACAGACUAUGGGAAAAAAUAGGUGGUGGUAGGUCUUUCCAGGGUCAACGCCAAGGAGAGGCCUGAGAGGUGCAUAGCAAAGGCUGUGGCACUGACUCCAUGGCUCAGAGGAGGGAAAUCCAGGGAAGGGCUGAAUGCUCUGUGUUUAAGGGAGAGAUAGAAUGGACAGCUGGGCAAACACACACCCGGGGACUCCUUUCUCCAAGACCGAUGGGCAUUGGGGGUGGCAGAGGAAAUACCAGCAUGGAACAACAUCCCAGGGACCCGCGUCCUCCCCAGGUUACAGUCCUGGGUCCCUGCAUGGCUGCAUGUUGUCUGCAGGCCACAUCUCCUCAGGACUCCCGCACUCAUCACUUUCCCAUUGCUAUGGAAGAGAGGUGUCAAGGUGGCACCUGCCUCCCUGUCCGUAGUGCUCAGGUGUGUGGCUACCAGAGGAAAAGCCACUCCCAACCUUUGCCGACAACCAUCCCGUUUCUGGGUUCCUGGAGAAGUCUGGGAAGCUGCUCUGUUGUAGAGGCUGAAAGGAGGGCUGGUGAGAGCCCCCAGCUGAAACCAGCCCUGCCCCUUACCCUUCCUCACCCCUCUACCUUCACUCUCCUCCUAACACUCCAGGGUUUUGUUUUUUGUUUGUUUUUUGCUUUUCUCACCCCAGGGCUCCUGCCUCUCCAGCCUGGAGACAGAUUUGAUUUGGGAUUGUUACAAAAAUAAUAAUAACCCAAAUGCAGAGAAGCCACGGAAAGGGCUGAGGGCAACCCUCCCCUCCCCCCGCCCUCCUCCCUCCCCAUUCCAAACCGAGUACAAAACCGCACCCAAAGCAGACAUUCUGUACAGGGGGGUGGGUGGGCUGGGGAGCAAGCGGGAGGGGCGGCCCUGCGGUUGCUCUGUACAAGUCCGGGUUGGUGACGGCCCCAGCAGUCCCCACAGGGCCCCUGGGGGGCGCAGGAAGUGGGCAGGCGCCUCUAGAUGAAAUAUUCCUUCUUGUCGUCCCCUCCUGACUGCCCGCCUUCUGCAUUGAUGAUGGCCGUGUCCGCGUCUGGAGCAUCGUCGGAGCCUUUUGCCUCAUGUGUCAGGUAGGUUCCUGUGUAGAGACAGAGGCUUCUCCUCUCAGGAGCAGCUUCCCAACCUCUGAGUCCACCCUGCCCACUUUCUCACCCACCCACUCACACACUGCUCAAGUAAUUUUUCUCUUGCCAAUAGCUCUCUUCUACUCCACCUUACCUAAUUCGCAUUUUGCUUCCAACAUGCCUCACCUGACCACACCCUUCAUGAAUAAUGAAUCCUACCCCUAAGUAGAAUCUCAUCUAUAAUACAAAGCAAGAAAGAGAAGUGUGUGUGUGUGUGUGUGUGUGUGUGUGUGUGUGUGCUUGCACGCAUGCGUGUGUGUGUGUAUGCAUGCGUGUGCACGCAACUUGGUGACGGGGGAUCUGCUAUGUCAGCUUCAUGAGCAAAGCAAUUGAGAUCUGGCUUAUGUAUGACCAGCCUAUGGAGUCAGGCCGCUGGCUAGAAUUAAUAGCAGAGCAGGAAGUCUGAGAGGAAGGAAUGUGAGAAGAGGGUAGAGAGAAGGCAUGGAUAUAAGAGAGAAGGUAGAAAAGGGGGAGAGGAAAGAAAGGCAAUGAGAUCAAAGGAGAAAGAAAAUGAGGUUAAACAGACAGAAAGGAAGAAAGCGCAGGAAGCAAUGAGAUGGAGAUGCAGUUUCAGGAGCUCUCUGUCUUGCAGCAGGAGACCUGGAGGUAGAGCAGCAUGGGAGCAACCGCUGACUGAGUGGGAAGGUUUGAUUUCACUUGGACGAUCCCCAAGUGAUCAGGCUUUACUGCGGGGUUGGUGGUGCUCAGUUAUCACAGGGUUGGCAAUGAUAGGGUUGGCUCCAUUUUUAAUUCCCUAAACACUCCAAAGGGCUGACAAGUCUCUGAAGGCCCUUUCCACUGUCUGCUUCUCCUCGUGCCUGCCUCUGAUUGGUCUCCCUGCCCCUCCCAAGUUCUGCUGAUGCUCUCUUUGUGCCUCUGACCUUUGUGCCGGAUCAAGUAGUGGCCAAGGAAGAUGAGCAUGAUGAGCAGCAGGAAGACAAUGAAAGCCACGAUCCCACCGAUGAUGGCGUGGUAGGUGCUGGAGGAGGAGGGCACCGGACUGGGGUCUGGAAGAAAGGGCAACACACACAGUCAGAUCUGGGGAGAGCCCUUAUCUUAUAGCAUUCCAACUUGGCCAUGAAUAGUCUUACACAGC
rnacentral:lncRNA from 1 species